AAGUACAUUUUCCUGAUGAUACUUAGAAACAUAGGAAAAAAUCCUGCACUCUGGUCUUGCUACAGCAUCACCUUUUAUUUAGAAAAACUAACGUUUCGGUCCCAUCAUACUCUCGAUGAAGGUCCAGAGGGACCGAAACAUUUUUAGUCAUUCGUACCCCUUUUCUUUUAGUUCUUAUUAUAUUGUAUACUGUAUUACACCAAGAUUGAAAGAACUACAUUUUCUGUACUAAAGAUGUUAUAUUGGCCCCAUGUAUUUCCCUAACCUUGCUCCAAUGUUGGACUCCACACUGAUUUAAUGUUAAUAAAAUCAGUGUGGCAGCAGCUGGCGGCUGCUUAU